rnacentral:rRNA from 1 species
UGCAAGUCGAGCCGGAAACGAUUCUAGCUUGCUAGAAGGCGUCGAGCGGCGGACGGGUGAGUAAUGCAUGGGAAUCUGCCCGAUAGUGGGGGACAACCUGGGGAAACUCAGGCUAAUACCGCAUACGUCCUACGGGAGAAAGCAGGGGAUCUUCGGACCUUGCGCUAUCGGAUGAGCCCAUGUCGGAUUAGCUUGUUGGUGAGGUAACGGCUCACCAAGGCGACGAUCCGUAGCUGGUCUGAGAGGAUGAUCAGCCACACUGGGACUGAGACACGGCCCAGACUCCUACGGGAGGCAGCAGUGGGGAAUAUUGGACAAUGGGCGAAAGCCUGAUCCAGCCAUGCCGCGUGUGUGAAGAAGGCCUUCGGGUUGUAAAGCACUUUCAGCGAGGAAGAACGCUUCGGGAUUAAUACUCCCGAGGAAAGACAUCACUCGCAGAAGAAGCACCGGCUAACUCCGUGCCAGCAGCCCGCGGUAAUACGGAGGGUGCAAGCGUUAAUCGGAAUUACUGGGCGUAAAGCGCGCGUAGGUGGCUAAGUCAGCCAGGUGUGAAAGCCCCGGGCUCAACCUGGGAACGGCAUCUGGAACUGCUUGGCUAGAGUGCAGGAGAGGAAGGUAGAAUUCCCGGUGUAGCGGUGAAAUGCGUAGAGAUCGGGAGGAAUACCAGUGGCGAAGGCGGCCUUCUGGACUGACACUGACACUGAGGUGCGAAAGCGUGGGUAGCAAACAGGAUUAGAUACCCUGGUAGUCCACGCCGUAAACGAUGUCAACUAGCCGUUGGGUCCCUUGAGGACUUAGUGGCGCAGCUAACGCAAUAAGUUGACCGCCUGGGGAGUACGGCCGCAAGGUUAAAACUCAAAUGAAUUGACGGGGGCCCGCACAAGCGGUGGAGCAUGUGGUUUAAUUCGAUGCAACGCGAAGAACCUUACCUACCCUUGACAUCCAGAGGACUUUCCAGAGAUGGAUUGGUGCCUUCGGGAACUCUGAGACAGGUGCUGCAUGGCUGUCGUCAGCUCGUGUUGUGAAAUGUUGGGUUAAGUCCCGUAACGAGCGCAACCCCUAUCCUUAUUUGCCAGCGAGUAAUGUCGGGAACUCUAAGGAGACUGCCGGUGACAAACCGGAGGAAGGUGGGGACGACGUCAAGUCAUCAUGGCCCUUACGGGUAGGGCUACACACGUGCUACAAUGGCAAGUACAAAGGGUUGCAAUACGGCGACGUGGAGCCAAUCCCAUAAAGCUUGCCUCAGUCCGGAUUGGAGUCUGCAACUCGACUCCAUGAAGUCGGAAUCGCUAGUAAUCCGUGGAUCAGAAUGCCACGGUGAAUACGUUCCCGGGCCUUGUACACACCGCCCGUCACACCAUGGGAGUGGACUGCACCAGAAGUGGUUAGCCUAACCUUCGGGAG